ACCCUGAGGAUGGCGGGGACUCUCUGACGAAGUGAGUAGUGUGUGACUGGGAGGGGGGGCCCCCGAGACAGCUCUGCCCAGGCUGCUGGUGCAGUGGGGUGUGUAUACUCAGCCCUGCCAAGGAGGAACGGGGGAUGGGUUGUCUUAUUCCACCACAAGCUAAGGUGGUAGAGACCAAGGAUCCGUUUGUGCUGUUUUGGUAUAUUUUCAGAGAGAUUCACUCUUACCGGAGGUUUUAGAAUGUUUCCUACCCAUGGGUCCUCACUGUGGGUCCCACCAGCCACAUCUGGAGCCAUUCGUCCAGGGGGUGUAGACGAGGCCUGGCAUCACCGCUUAUCCUUGCGGCAUCUGGGGCUCUCUAGAAUCUCAGCGUGGUCUCUAGCCAGCAUCAGCAUCACCUGAGAGCUUGUAAGAAAUGCAGACUCUCAGGCCUCUGAAGCAACACCUACGUGCUCCUGAGAAAACUGGCUUCCUUCCCAAGGAGCCUCUUGGAUGCUCCCUUAUUUUAUGAAGUACCUUCCCUCUUAAAUGUGGCAGAUAAGGAUUUCUCGGGUACUGAACGGAAUUUACCCCCAAUGACUAAGUCCUGAGUCAUCAAGAAAAGUUAAAUUUAGUGUGCUUUGAACUCUGUUGGUGUACGUUUUUUUUUUAAUCGGUGUAUUUCUUUAGGCAUCCAGGUAAUUGAGGUUUGUUACAUUUGCAGAGUGGCAAGAUGCAUUUUCCACCCAAAAUGGGAAAAGAUAGAAAACACCAAAGAAGUAAAAUAAUGGAAUUCUGUAAUAGCAAAAUAAAGACUGAAAAUGCACCUUCAAAUAAACCGCUUGAUGCCCCUUGCCCCCUAGUAGAGACUUGAUGGUAAACAACAUCCCAACAAAUAGAAACAGCGCUUCGCAGAUGGCAUGCUUUCCUUUUUUUCCCUGGUAACCAGUAAGAAUAUUACCCUUUAUGCACAUAAAGUAUCUAAUUCUGAAACAAGUUUUACAAAACCAAUGCCUAUGUGUUGUACUCUGAUCCUGAUACUUUCGAUUAUUUGGUUAAUGCUCAUCAAGACAGUUGGUUUUAUGACUUGCUGAUGAGUUGAGAUGCACAGUUUAAAAACAGCUUGCAUUGGAAUUCCUAUUGUGGCUCAGCAGUAACCAGCUGAUUAGUAUCCGCAAGGAUUCGGGUUCUGUCCCUGGCCUCACUCAAUGGAUUAAAGGAUCUGGUGUUGCCCUGAGCUGCAGUGUAGUUCGCAGAUGUGGCUCGGAUUUGGCGUUGCUGAGGCUGUGGCUGUGGUGUAGGCCAGCAGCUGCAGCUGCGAUCNUCCCCUAGCCUGGGAAUUCCAUAUGCCAAGGGUGCAGCCCUAAAAAGCAAAAAACAAAACAAAAACUGUUUGCAUUAAGGGACAGUGAUAGAAUAAUCCAUUCACAAAGCUAUAUUGGAAUUUCUGUCAAUAUACACACAUGAUAGAAAGGGUUUUUUUCUUUUUCCAAAAAACUUCUUGCCCCGAAGUGUUACACUCCUGUGCAUCGUCUAGCAAAUAUAAUAAAGCAUAGGCUCCUGGGUGUGAGGGAAUUUUGCCUGUGCAAAAAAGUGCAAAGUGCUUCAUGCUAGUUAAUAAUUUAAGCAUAUGUGUGCAUGAUAAAAGCAAAAGGUAUUUAACGUAGCAGGAUAUGCCCCCUUCAACCAUUCAUGGAAUUUUUAAGUGCCAGGCACUGGGAAGGAGCAGGGUCCUGGCCUCCUGGACCUUAUAGACUGUUGGUGGAUACAGAAAAGUAAAAAAGUACCAAAAUUAUAGUGAGGUUAAUGCUCACCCGUGACCUAAUUACUGGGGAGCGAUGGGAGGGGAGGGGAAGGGAGAGAUGCAAAUGAAUUGUGUUUUAAGACCACUCUGGCCACAAUGGGAUAAAAAGUGGUUGGGAGAGGGGACAGGCCAGUAGAGUAGGUAACUGAGGACUUUUAGUUUUUAUUGAGCCCUGAGUCCCAGGGGUAGAGUGGUGAACAAGAGAGACUUUACACUUGGUGAUCCCGUUGUGGCACAGCAGAAACGAAUCCGUCUAAUCACCAUGAGGUUGCGGGUUCAAUCCCUGGCAUCACUCGGUGGGUUAAGGAUCUGGCAUUGCCAUGAGCUGUGGUGUAGGUUGCAGACAUGGCUUGGAUCCCGCUUUGCUGUGGCUGUGGCAUAGGCUGGCGGCUGUAGCUCCAAUUCAACCCCUAGCCUGGGAACGUCCAUAUGCCACGGGUGUGGCCAUAAAAAGCCAAAAAAAAAAAAAAAAUCUACUCUCAGGGUGCUCUGAGGCAGGAAUGUAAUGAAAAUACAGCAAGGUGAAGUUUUUUAGGCCACACACAGUACUCUUACAGAGACCCGCUGAGGUGUUCUUGUCUCUCAAGCGAUGGUGCUCCUUGCUCUGGUUCUGAAAGGAGUUCCCACGUCUUUCCAUUGUCUCCUUUUUCUAGGUGAGCUUCUGACCUCCUGCUCUCCGCAGUUGGUCUCCUACACCAUGUGGGUUGUGUGAUACUCUGCCAAUUUCCUGUCAGCGUUGGUCUUUUUACUCCAUUUGAAGACUGCAUUCAGCCACUGAUCAAGGGCUGCCUUCAAACAAGGGACUUUGGUGUCAUUUCCCCUCUAAAGCGAAAAUGUACCUUAAAAGGAAACACCUUGUUUGUUGGCGUUCAUGACUGUUUUGGGAGCUUUCCCCUUCUGAACAUAUUAGAGGUGCAUUUUAGGUUUCCUUUCAUUCUUAACACAAGACUGUGUUGCUUUUAGCUGUUUUACUUUUCAUCUUUUUUCUUUUUAGGGCCGCACCUACGGCAUAUGGAGGUUCCCAGGUUAGGGGUUGAAUUGGCACUGCAGCUGCCAACCUACACCACUGCCACAGCAACUCGGGGUCCAAGCUGAAUCUGUGGUCUACACCAUAGUUCAGGGCAACACUGGAUGCUUAACCCACUGAGUAAGGCCAGGGAUCGAACCCAACUCCUCAUGGAUACUAGUUGGAUUCAUUAACCACCGAGCCAUGACGGGAAGUCUGCUUUUAGUUAUUUUAGAUGAGUGUGCUCAUCAGCCCUACAGAGGAAUCUCACAGGAAUUUACUAAAUUGCCUCGAGAGCUUUGAGAGGUGGUUCUAGAAAUUGGGGCUGAGGACCCAGGUCUUUGCUAGUGUGUACCGGUUAGCUGCACGGGUGCAGUAGGCAGUCCAGGGGUUUGUGUGGAGGCUUCAUGUCAUCCGGGAACCCAGGCUUCUGUCAUUCUGCUUCACAUCCUGGACCUGUGGCCUCAGUUUUACCCCUGAUCACGUUCUGUUCCAGGCAGGAAGGAGGAGGAAACGGGGUGGAAAGAGCAAAAGCUUCCUGCUGAGUUAGCCCCUUCGAAGUCUUUACUAGCCACACUUGGCUACAAGGAUGCCUGGGAAAUGCAGUCUUUGGGCCAGGCACAUUGCACCUGUCAUAAAAUCAAGGUUCCGUUAGGAAGCAAGAAGGGGAGAAUGGCUGUUCGGACAGCAACUUGCAGCCUCUGCCACACUUAUCUGUGCAUCUCAGGCAGGAAACGGGUAAAAUUUCAUUCACAGAAUGGAAUGAAGUCAUCGGCACCAGUAGUCAGUGCAGCCUUUCCCUUGCUCAUCUCAUCUCAGACAAAUGAGUCAGCUGUCACUGAACUGUCUCCCGGAGCUGCAUUUCUUGGCCCCUCGGCGUGGUAUUCAUGGUAGAAGCAGGAACCUCACCCUGACUUCAGAGACUGUUCUACUUUUGUUCUAGAACAUUCUUCUUCCCAUCUGUCGAAUUUCAGAGCAGGUGGUGACCUUCAUUUUCUAUCUGUGGCUGCAUAGUUAAAAAAAUAAAUUUGGUUUUGAGGUGCUUAUAGACUUUUAGAGAAAUUUUUUUGGGCCACACCCGCAGCAUCAGGAAGUUUUGAAGCCAGCAAUCAAACCAGUGCCACAGCAGUGAAUAGAGCCACAGCAGUGACAACACCAGGUCCUUAACCCGCUAUGCCACCAAGAGAGGCUUUAGGCUGAGAGAAUUUUUAGGUGCUCUACAGGCAGACCUUGUUUUAUUGUGCUUGGCUUUACUGUCCUUUAUAGAUACUGUGUUUUCUUUCUUUGUGUGUGUGUGUGUGUGUGUAUGUCUUUUUGCCAUUUUCUUGGGCCGCUCCCUCGGCAUGUGGAGGUUCCCAGGCUAGGGGUCUAAUUGGAGCUGUAGCCACCAGCCUACGCCAGAGCCACAGCAACGCGGGAUCCAAGCCGCAUCUGAAAUCUUCACCACAGCUCACAGCAACGCCAGAUCCUUAACCCACUGAGCAAGGCCAGGGAUCGAACCUGCAACCUCAUGGUUCCUAGUUGGAUUCGUUAACCACUGAGCCACGACGGGAACUCCGAUACUGUGUUUUCUAUAAAUGGAAGGUUUGCGGCAACCAUGCGUGGAGCAAAAUCUAUGGAUGCCAUUUUUUUCCAACAGCGUUUUUUCACUUUGUGUCUCUGUCACAUUUUGGUCAUUCUCAUAAUAUUUCAAAGCUUUUUCAUUAUUAUAUUUGUUUUGGUGGUCUGUGAGCAGUAGCCUUUGAUGUUAUUGCUGCGACGUGCUGAAAGUGCAAGUGAUGGUUAACAUUUUUAGCAAUAAAAUUUUCAGGAAUUCCUGUUGUGGCUCAUCAGGUUAAGAACCUGACAUAGUGUCCUUGAGGAUGCAGGUUCAAUCCCUGGCCUCUCUUAGUGUGUUAAGGAUCCGUUGUUUCCACAAGCUGCAGUGUAACUUGCAGAUGUGGCUCGGAUCUUGCAUUGCCCUGGCUGUGGCUGUGGUGUGGGCUGGCAGCUGCACCUCUGAUUUGACCCCUACCUAGCUCAGGAAUUUCCAUAUGCCUCAGGUGUGGCCCUAAAAAAAUUUUUUUUUAAUUAAGCCAUGUACAUUUUUUAGACACGAAGCUAUUGUACACAUAGUAGACUUAAGUAUAGCGUAAACAUAAGUUUUAUAUGCACUGGGAAACCAAAAAAUUUUCAUGACUUGCUUUAUUGUGGUGGUCUGGAACCAAAUCCACAACAUUUCUGAGGCCUGUAUUUGCUUAACUUUAAGGUUAAAAACAGAUUAUAAAAUAUUCAAUAUAGCAGAGCUGUUAAGAAUUUGGGCUGUGGAUUGAGACCUGAUCCCACAAGAUUAUAGUCGUAUGAUCUUGGGCAACUGAUGGAAAUGUCCUGUAUGUGCCUGAGUUUACUCAUCUGUAAAGUGGAAUAACAGUUGGAAUUUGCUGAAAAGAGACCAGUGAUAAAGCACAUGCCUUUCCUGCUCUGCUGGCCACAUCCAAUGGUUCCAAGGAUGGUAAAGCUCUCUAGGGCAGUGGAUAAGCCCUACCUGAAACACGGGGUGGUGCCAGCCUCCAGAGACCUUCAGCUCACAGUGCAGAGGAUGCUUCUGUCUGGGACAGAGCUCUUGUGACAUGUACCUGAGGGGCUGUGGUCCCCUGCACACUGGGGCUGAGACCCUAGGUAUAUGUAGCACGUGGAUACAUCAGGAAUUGUUGCCAUGUAUCCUUUUUGGGAAUAGAAACUGGAAGAAUGAGAAUGAGUGGCUGUACUCAGAAUGUAAUUGGUACUACAUUAAUUUUGAGAAAUUCAGUGCAAGUUCAUUUUUUCAACGUACAUGUAUUUGUUACUCAGAGGUGUUGAGAGGUCACUUGCUGGAAAACACACAGUUAAUAAGUAGCAGAGCCAGGAAGCCGCUUUCCCAGCCACUGCACUUAACCUAAUCUCAGGCCAUGGUGGCCUCAGUCCGUUCCCUUUGGUGCAGAAGCACUGCUCAAGCCUACUUUUCAGAGUGGGUUAAGGGGGGCCUGCCCCUGAGUCUUGAAUAUCCUGUGCAGGGAGGAUUUGCACGCAGACCCAGGGCAGGAGAGAGGGGCACCUUCUUGUUAUAAAAAAAAAAUGGGGGGAGAAUUCUCUCUGACCCAAUAGUUGAAGAAUCACAAGGGAUUUCCAUGCACAGGAUGGGCUGUCUUACAAGCAGUUUAAAAGCUGGAGAAAGAAACGGCCAAUUUAUCUUUUUCCUUCCACAAGUAGGAUAUAUUUUUGUUCAGUAAAUAUAUGUUGGUUAAAUGAACCACACUGAGGCUGGAUUCCAGCCAGCUGAUAACCAAGUUUACUGCCUAAUACAGAAGUUGUUUCUCUACUUCCUGUUUUUCAGGGUCCAAAAAUGUAUUGUGAGCCUCUUUCACACAGGAAAAUUUAAAAAUCAAACAAAAAACCUGCAGUGCUUGGAUUUCCCAUUGUGGCUCAGCAGGUUAAGAACCCAACCUAGUGUCCAUGAGGAUGUGGGUUCAGUCCCUGGCCUCACUCAGUGGGUCAGGUGUCUGGCGUUGCCACAAGUUGUGGUAUAGGUCACAGAGGCAAUGGGGAUCUGGCGUAGCUGUGGCUGUGGUGAAGGCCAGCACCUACAGCCCCGAUUUGACCCCUAGCCCAGGAACUUCCAUAUGCAACAGGUGCAGACCUAAAAAAAGAAAAAUAGAAAAAAAAAAAAAGU
rnacentral:lncRNA from 1 species